rnacentral:sRNA from 1 species
AGGUUGUGCAGAAUGUUGGAGAACCAGGAGAUCACCUCUGGGCUCGCAGGGAAAUCUGAAGACACCUGUAAGCUGUUGUCUGAAUC